CAAGAGUAUUUCAGUUUGGCUUUAUGCCCUCUGAAAAUCUCCACCCUUUGUUUACAUUACCUCUGUUGUUGCCUCGGUGGGUGCUUUAUAGCACCUGCCGGCAGACACCUUCGAAAACCCUUGAUUUAAUACUAUAGUCAGAGCUGUAACAAGCAAAAGAUUAAUAAAUCA
rnacentral:misc_RNA from 1 species